UAUAAAUUAGUGUACGAUGCACAUAAAUUUUUGAUAUUUAAGGAAAAGUUUAAUUCUUAUAUUUAUAA
rnacentral:tRNA from 1 species